AUCCCAGAUAAUAAUAUUUGUGAUUAUUCUGAUUCAUGGGAGGCAAAGAGUAAAUAAUAAUGGGAGUUCGCUGAUAGUGCCUUUGCAUUAUUUACAAGGUGUUCUAAUAGUACGUGACCAUACAUGU